rnacentral:lncRNA from 1 species
AAUCUGUCUUUCUAGCAUGUUGCCCUUUUUCAACCACAUUUGUGUUUCAGGUGUAGAGAGGAGAGAGAGUGAACAGGGAGCGGGGCUUUUGUCUGUUUAUUACCCAGAACUCUUUGUCUGGGUCAGUCAAGAACCAUUUCCAAACAAGGACAUGGAGGGAAGGCUUCCUAAGGGAAGACUUCCUGUCCCAAAGGAAGUGAACCGCAAGAAGAACGAUGAGACAAACGCUGCCUCCCUGACUCCACUGGGCAGCAGUGAACUCCGCUCCCCAAGAAUCAGUUACCUCCACUUUUUUUAAUCGUAACACCUCCAUUUGUAUUACAUAUGGUGUAUGGGUAUUGAUGAGGUCAUGGUAUCAUAUAUGGGAUUUUUUUCUGUGUAAAUCAUCAAGUAUAAGAAGAAACUAUGGGACUCUGAGCCUUGCUUUAGAGAAUUUACAGUGGACAAAUAGGUGUCAUCAAACCAGUUUUUAAUCAUUCUGACUCAAGUGAAAACGCUCAGAAUUUCACACUGUGAAUCCACGUUUACAACCCUUACAGGUGGGCCUUCAGGCCUGGUUCGCUACAACAAUGUCUUC